UGGAAAUGGGUCGAGAGAGGGGUUAGCAA
rnacentral:piRNA from 1 species